CAGGAGUGAAGUGGCCAGCAACUGGAGUGA
rnacentral:piRNA from 1 species